AUUGAACGCUGGCGGCAUGCCUUACACAUGCAAGUCGAACGGUAACAGGUCUUCGGAUGCUGACGAGUGGCGAACGGGUGAGUAAUACAUCGGAACGUGCCCGAGAGUGGGGGAUAACGAAGCGAAAGCUUUGCUAAUACCGCAUACGAUCUCAGGAUGAAAGCAGGGGGCCUCAAGGCCUUGCUCUCACGGAGCGGCCGAUGGCAGAUUAGGUAGUUGGUGGGAUAAAAGCUUACCAAGCCGACGAUCUGUAGCUGGUCUGAGAGGACGACCAGCCACACUGGGACUGAGACACGGCCCAGACUCCUACGGGAGGCAGCAGUGGGGAAUUUUGGACAAUGGGCGCAAGCCUGAUCCAGCCAUGCCGCGUGCAGGAUGAAGGCCUUCGGGUUGUAAACUGCUUUUGUACGGAACGAAAAGACUCCUUCUAAUAAAGGGGGUCCAUGACGGUACCGUAAGAAUAAGCACCGGCUAACUACGUGCCAGCCGCCGCAGUAACAC
rnacentral:rRNA from 1 species